GUUGGGGAUGGGAGGUCAGCAGAUGUCCACCAAAAAGGGAAUCACACUUCAGAACCACCGCACGCGGCAUCGGGCCUGCGCGGAGACAGAAAUGAGUUAAGAGACAAGGGGGUCCUGAAGCAGGGCUGGAAGCUUAGUGGCCCAGAGGAGUCCCCAGGUAUGGGAGGGGAGCUUCUGGGCUUGGCUCGGCAGGUCCUGGGUGUGGGCAGCAUCCAAUCGACUGAGACGCCCAAAGUGACCCGGGAGGCUUGUCACAGGACAGGGAGCAGGGUCUGCUUUUUGUGGGAAGAUACAGAAUGCUUGAGUCACCUCAGUGUGACUCAGCCAGCUAGCUUUUCCUGUUGGAGGGAAUCUGUACUGGUGUGUGUCCUCUGGGGCAUGGGAGGGCACGUCGUCCAGGGGAGGCCUGCCCAGGCUGGGGCCAGGUGACAUGGUUUCACGCUUUACUGUUUCUCAGGUGAUGGAUCAGAGCGAGGACCAACACCAUUCUUGCCCAGUGCAGACCACCUGUCAUGGAGCCUCCAGAGCCACUACAACUCUGUCUCCUUGAGCUGCAAGCAGGAGCCCAAGCCACCCCACAGCAGUGGCGCUGUGCUCUGUGCUUUUUCAUGUGAUUUUGUUAAUUUUAAGUUCUCAAUGACUCUUAACGCCUGUAUGUUAACUCAAAUAAAUGGAUCAAUUAAGUA